rnacentral:rRNA from 1 species
ACGAACAGCUGGCGGCGUGCCUAAAAACAUGCAAGUCGAACGGGGGUAGCAAUACCUAGUGGCGAACGGCGGAGUAAUACGUGAACAACGUGCCCUAAAGACUGGGAUAGCCAGGGGAAACCCUGAGUAAUACCGGAUGUGGCAACGAGAUGGCAUCAUUUCGUUACUAAAUGGUUUUUUCGCUUAGGAGGCGGUUCACGGCCUAUCAGCUUAGGUUGGUGAAGGUAACGGCUCACCAAGGCGACGACGGGUAGGGGGUCUUGAGAGGAUGAUCCCCCCGAGUGCGGACUGAAGACACGGCCCACACACCUACGGGUGGCAGCAGUUGGAAUCUUGCACAAUGGGGAAACCCUGAUGCAGCGACGCCGCGUGGAGGACGAAGGGUCUAGGCUCGUAAACUCCUUUUUUUCGGAAAGACCUUAGGACGGUACCCGAAGAAUAAGCACCGGCUAACUACGUGCCAGCAGCCGCGGUAAGACGUAGGGUGGCAAGCGUUGUCCGGAUUUACUGGGCGUAAAGAGCGCGUAGGCGGCUCGUUAAGUGAGAAGUGAAAGCUCUGAGCUCAACUCAGAAACCGCUUUUCAUAACUGGCGAGCUAGAGUGAUGCAGAGGUGGAUAGAAUUCCCGGUGUGGUAAGCGGUGAAAUGCGUUGAUAUCGGGAGGAGAAUACCCGUGGCGAAGGCGGUCCACUGGGCAUCAAACUGACGCUGAGGCGCGAAAGCGUGGGUAGCAAACAGGAUUAGAUACCCUGGUAGUCCACGCCCUAAACGAUAGGAUGCUAGGCGUAGGAGGUAUCGACCCCUCCUGUGCCGCAGCUAACGCACUAAGCAUCCCGCCUGGGGACUACGGCCGCAAGGGUUGAAAACUCAAAUGAAUUGACGGGGGACCCGCACAAGGCGGUGGAGCAUGUGGAUUAAUUCGAUACUAACCGAAGAACCUUACCCAGGUUUGACAUCGAGGGAAAACCUAUGAAAGUAGGUCCUCGCCCACAAGGCGACCCGAAGACAGAUGUUGCAUGGCUGUCGUCAGCUCGUGCCGUGAGGUGUACGGUUAAGUCCGCCAACGAGCGCAACCCCUCGUCCUGUGUUACCAGCGAGUUAAGUCGGGAACUCACAGGGAGACCGCCGGUGUAAGCCGGAUGAAGGUGGGGGAUGACGUCAAGUCAGCAUGGCUCUUACGCCUGGGGCUUCACACAUGCUACAAAUGGGCGCAAACAGAGGGCAGCAAUACCGUGAGGUGGAGCUAAUCCCAAAAUAAAUACGCCCCCAGUUCAGAUUGCAGUCUGCAACUCGACUGCAUGAAGGCGGAAUCGCUAGUAAACGCAGGUCAGCUAUACUGCGCUUGAAUACGUUCCCGGGUCUUGUACACAAACCGCCCGUCAAGUCACCUGAAUUGUCUUCACACCGAAGUUCCGUGGCCUAAACCGCAAGGAAGGAGCGGCCGAAGGUGAGGGGAGUAAGGGGGACU